CAGCAAGAGAGAUUUUAGGAACCUUUGAAUUGAUUUACUGCUCUGGCAUUAAGAUUGAAAAAGCAUGGGUCCUGAAAAAGUGUUACUACUGCUACUAAUACUAACAACUCAGAAGAUGAUGGCUGCACAGACAACUACAAGUCCUACAACCAUCACAAGUGCUUAUUCAACAACAAACAAAGUGGCAACAACAAGAAGCACUCCAGACACAACAACAGCAGUUGUUACCUCAACAACGUCAGACACAACUACAGAGCCUCAACCAACAACUGUAGUUGUUCCAGAAACUACAACAGCUAUUCCACUACAAACUACAGCUGUUCCAACUGAAACUACAACCACACUCUCUGUAACAACAGUUGGUCGCCCAACAACCACAGAAGAAAAAUCCAAAACAACAGCAACUCCAACAACAACCACAGCACCAUCAAGUACAGCUGAUACAAAAACAACCACUACAGCUGCUACAUCCACAACUGCUGCAUUAACCACAACAACAGAUGCAAUAAUCAAAACCAAAGCAGCUGAAACCACAACUACAGCAGAUCCAGCAACUACAGCUGCUUCAACCACAACCACUUCAAUUCCAACAACAACCACUGCGGCUCCAUUAACAACUACAGCUUCUCAAACCACAACCAAUGCACCUACAACCACAACCACAACACCUCCAACCACAACCACGGAUGCUCCAAAACCAACUACAGCUACUCCAUCCACAACCACUUCAGAGCCAACCACAACAACAGUGGCACCGACCACAACUACAUUGGCUCCAACUACAACUACAGCUGUUCCAGUAACAACCACUGCAGUUCCAACCACAACCACAGCAGCACCAACCACAACCACACCAGCUCCAACCACA